GACGAACGCUGGCGGCGUGCUUAACACAUGCAAGUCGAACGGAAAGGCCCUGCUUUUGUGGGGUGCUCGAGUGGCGAACGGGUGAGUAACACGUGAGUAACCUGCCCUUGACUUUGGGAUAACUUCAGGAAACUGGGGCUAAUACCGGAUAGGAGCUCCUGCUGCAUGGUGGGGGUUGGAAAGUUUCGGCGGUUGGGGAUGGACUCGCGGCUUAUCAGCUUGUUGGUGGGGUAGUGGCUUACCAAGGCUUUGACGGGUAGCCGGCCUGAGAGGGUGACCGGACACACUGGGACUGAGAUGCGGCACAGACUCGUACGGGAGGCAGCGGUGGAGAAUAUUGCAUAAUAGGCGGAAGGCUAGUGCAGCGACGCCGCGUGGGGGAUGACGGCCUUCGGGUUGUGAUGCGCUUUGGCUUGAGACGAAGCGUGAGUGACGGUAAUGGGUAAAGAAGCACCGGCUAACUACGUG
rnacentral:rRNA from 1 species